CGCCUCUUGCUAACAAAGGAAGUACUAGAGGUCCCGCCUGCCCUGUGACCACAAAGUUUAACGGCCGCGGUAUCCUGACCGUGCGAAGGUAGCGUAAUCAUUUGUCUUUUAAAUAGAGACCUGUAUGAAUGGCAUAACGAGGGUUUAACUGUCUCCUUCCCCUAGUCAAUGAAAUUGAUCUGCCCGUGCAGAAGCGGACAUAAACACAUAAGACGAGAAGACCCUAUGGAGCUUUAGACAAAAGAUCAAACAUGUAAAGAAACCAAACCAACCAAAAGGAACACGAAGGCCACAAAACCCAACGUAAACUGAUCUAAAUGUCUUCGGUUGGGGCGACCAUGGGGGAAAGAAAAGCCCCCACGAGGAACAGGGACAACCCCUAA
rnacentral:rRNA from 1 species